GCACAAGCGGUGGAGUAUGUGGUUUAAUUCGAUGCAACGCGAAGAACCUUACCUGGUCUUGACAUCCCGGAGACCCUUAGGAAACUAGGGGGUGCUUCCAUCUGGAAGAAUCUGGAGACAGGUGCUGCAUGGCUGUCGUCAGCUCGUGUCGUGAGAUGUUGGGUUAAGUCCCGCAACGAGCGCAACCCUUGCCUUUAGUUGCCAGCAGUUCGGCUGGGCACUCUAAAGGGACUGCCGGUGUUAAACCGGAGGAAGGUGGGGAUGACGUCAAGUCCUCAUGGCCUUUAUGACCAGGGCUACACACGUACUACAAUGGCCGAUACAAAGGGCAGCGACACUGCGAGGUGAAGCCAAUCCCGUAAAAUCGGUCUCAGUCCGGAUUGGAGUCUGCAACUCGACUCCAUGAAGUUGGAAUCGCUAGCAAUCGUGGAUCAGCAUGCCACGGUGAAUACGUUCCCGGGCCUU
rnacentral:rRNA from 1 species